GAUGAACGCUGGCGGCGUGCCUAAUACAUGCAAGUCGAGCGAAUGGAUUAAGAGCUUGCUCUUAUGAAGUUAGCGGCGGACGGGUGAGUAACACGUGGGUAACCUGCCCAUAAGACUGGGAUAACUCCGGGAAACCGGGGCUAAUACCGGAUAACAUUUUGAACCGCAUGGUUCGAAAUUGUAAGGCGGCUUCGGCUGUCACUUAUGGAUGGACACGCGUCGCAUUAGCGAGUUGGGGAGGUAACGGCUCACCAAGGCAACGAUGCGUAGCCGACCUGAGAGGGUGAUCGGCCACACUGGGACUGAGACACGGCCCAGACUCCUACGGGAGGCAGCAGUAGGGAAUCUUCCGCAAUGGACGAAAGUCUGACGGAGCAACGCCGCGUGAGUGAUGAAGGCUUUCGGGUCGUAAAACUCUGUUGUUAGGGAAGAACAAGUGCUAGUUGAAUAAGCUGGCACCUUGACGGUACCUAACCAGAAAGCCACGGCUAACUACGUGCCAGCAGCCGCAGUAA
rnacentral:rRNA from 1 species